UAUGAUCUCCCUCAGUCUCUCCUACAGUGUGUAUUGACUGAGUUCCAGGCUUAUUUCUGACUUUGUGUAUGUGCUCAUUUAUUACAAUGAUUGAAAUAGGAUUUGUCAAAGGAAAUUCAGGAAAUCUGCCAUUUGCAGAUCCCUGCAUGAUAACAUGUUUCUUCGUUGGCAGUGAAGAUUCCAUACCAUUGGAGAUGAGGGUAGUGAAGACGACCAGUCAGAGAUGGGAAAUGGCUGCAUAAACUCUUCUGCCUGCAGUGAGCUUUGCAUUUCAAGCAAACAAGCCAUGUCAGGAAUACUCCAGAUGGUAUAAGAGAUGCCAGUUUGCAGUUCCUACCGAAGGCAGGAAGAUAAACAGCAUUAUGGAACAACAGUUGGACAGCACGUAUGAGAAAGAUGUGAUUGAUGAAGGGAGUGUUGCUGGAGAGAGCCCCAAUCUGUAAGGCACUGAGAAUCUUCAGUGAUGGGAAAGGAGGAGCUGAUUUCUCAGAGUAUUGGGGAAAGACAAGCAUAUGUAGAAUAAAUAAAAAUCGAUGAGGAAUAAAUAGCAUUGUGUAUUAUAGGA